AAGUCGUAACAAGGUUUCCGUAGGUGAACCUGCGGAAGGAUCAUUAACACGUAUCCAAACGUUAAACCCCCCCCGUGAACCUUCAUCGUGCUCUAGUGGGCCACUGAUAAACACAGCAAUUCCUGGUAAAUCAUUGUCUGAACAAGCCUUUGAGUCAGGAACCUCUGUGCAGUGCGAGCUACACCCACUAUAGAAGCGCUAGUUCCAUCGGCAUUGUUUCCCCAAGCAGCCAGUGCGUGAAAGUGGCAACUGACUGUGCAAGGAUAACGCUUAACGAUUUUGCAGCCGCAACACGCGGGCAGAGCUUUGCCAAAGGGUCCCCAAGCUCCAUUUUCAAUUAUGGAUGGGGUAAAACCGAACAACUGUUAACAAUGGAUAUCUUGGUUCUC
rnacentral:misc_RNA from 1 species